rnacentral:rRNA from 1 species
AUUGAACGCUGGCGGCAUGCCUUACACAUGCAAGUCGAACGGCAGCACGGGAGCAAUCCUGGUGGCGAGUGGCGAACGGGUGAGUAAUAUAUCGGAACGUGCCCAGUCGUGGGGGAUAACGUAGCGAAAGCUACGCUAAUACCGCAUACGAUCUAUGGAUGAAAGCGGGGGAUCGCAAGACCUCGCGCGAUUGGAGCGGCCGAUAUCAGAUUAGGUAGUUGGUGAGGUAAAGGCUCACCAAGCCGACGAUCUGUAGCUGGUCUGAGAGGACGACCAGCCACACUGGGACUGAGACACGGCCCAGACUCCUACGGGAGGCAGCAGUGGGGGAAUUUUUGGACAAUGGGCGCGAAGCCUGAUCCAGCAAUGCCGCGUGCAGGAUGAAGG